CAGCAGCCGCGGGAAUACGAAGGGUGCAAGCGUUAAUCGGAAUUACUGGGCGUAAAGCGUGCGUAGGCGGUUUGUUAAGUCUGUUGUGAAAUCCCCGGGCUCAACCUGGGAAUGGCAAUGGAUACUGGCACGCUAGAGUGUGUCAGAGGAUGGUGGAAUUCCCGGUGUAGCGGUGAAAUGCGUAGAGAUCGGGAGGAACAUCAGUGGCGAAGGCGGCCAUCUGGGACAACACUGACGCUGAGGCACGAAAGCGUGGGGAGCAAACAGGAUUAGAUACCCCCGUAGUCCCUGUCUCUUAUAC
rnacentral:rRNA from 1 species